AGUGACAGAGUUAGGGAGGGAAGGGGUGACUAGUGACAAAGUGAGGAAGGGGUGACUAGUGACUGAGGGAGGGGUGACUAGGGACAGAGUGAGGGAGGUGGUGACUAGUGACAGUCACCACCUCCCUCACUCUGUCACUAGUCACCACCUCCCUCACUGUGUCAGCCCCUCCCUCUGUCACUGGUCACCCACUCCCUCCCUCACUCUGUCACCAGUCACCCCUUCCUUCCCUCUGUCACUAGUCACCCCUUCCCUCACUCUGUCACCUGUCACCCCCUCACUCUGUCA